AUGGUGCCCACCCAGCCUCCUGUCCCGGGGCUGGGGGGGCCCACUCUGGUGUGCCUGGCUAAGGGCCUCCACCCGGCCGGGGCCGCCCUGUCCUGGUCCGAGGACGGAGCCUCUGUGAGGGGCGAGGAGGUCCAGGCGGGCGUGGCCCAGCGACAGCCUGAUGGAAGCUACUCCCUUAGCAGCGUCCUCCUGCUGCCCUCCACAAGGUGGCGCUCAGGACACACCUUCACCUGCCAUGUGAGCCACUCUGCUCUCAGCAGCCCGCUGAGCAAGAGUGUGAGCAGCCAGCAGUGCUCCCUCUGACAGAGGACGAGAAGAUACAGGGAGCGCUACAGGAGGACGACAUGAGGAGAAAUAGAGUAGAGUACGCAACCUUUUAGCGGCUUGGUUGGCCUGAGAUCCAGGCUCAUGUCCUUCAGCUCCGAGUGAAAUACUUCACCAUGUUUUAAUGCUUUACUGUGUUCAAUAAAACUGCUUCAUCAUGA